rnacentral:rRNA from 1 species
GAUGAACGCUAGCUACAGGCUUAACACAUGCAAGUCGAGGGGCAGCGGGAUUUACGCUUGCUUCAAUUGCCGGCGACCGGCGCACGGGUGAGUAACGCGUAUCCAACCUUCCGUACACUCACGGAUAGCCUUUCGAAAGGAAGAUUAAUACUAAAUAGUUUGAAGAGAUUGCAUGAUAUCAUCAUUAACGAUUUAUUGGUGUACGAAGGGGGUGCGUUUCUUUAGGUAGUAGGCGGGGUAACGGCCCACCAAGCCAACGAUGGAUAGGGGUACUGAGAGGAAGGUCCCCGACAUUGGAACUCGGACACGGUCCAAACGCCUACGGGCAGCAGCAGUGAGGAAGAUUGGGAAAUGGACGUGAGUCUGAACCAGCCAAGUAGCGUGAAGGAUGAAGGUCUUACAGAUUGUAAUCGUCUUAUAUGAGGGAAGAAACCCGCCCACGUGUGAGAGCGUGUAUGUACCUUAUGAGAAAGCAACGGCUAACUCCGUG